AAUUAUCAAAAACCAUUUUCUUUUAUAGAAAAGGAUUUUGGACUUGGAGGUUUGAUGCUUGUCUCUCUUCUUUGAAAGCAAGCUCCUCUCAAAUGAAUUAGUGGGGUCUGCUUUGCUGAUCCUUGACGUGAUAAGAUGUUUCUACGUUUUGGACUUGGCAUCGUGCCUGCUUCUAACUGUCUUACAGACAAAACAAAAAAGAAC
rnacentral:misc_RNA from 1 species